UGGGGAAUAUUGCACAAUGGGCGCAAGCCUGAUGCAGCCAUGCCGCGUGUAUGAAGAAGGCCUUCGGGUUGUAAAGUACUUUCAGCGGGGAGGAAGGCGAUAAGGUUAAUAACCUUGUCGAUUGACGUUACCCGCAGAAGAAGCACCGGCUAACUCCGUGCCAGCAGCCGCGGUAAUACGGAGGGUGCAAGCGUUAAUCGGAAUUACUGGGCGUAAAGCGCACGCAGGCGGUCUGUCAAGUCGGAUGUGAAAUCCCCGGGCUCAACCUGGGAACUGCAUUCGAUACUGGCAAGCUUGAGUCUCGUAGAGGGGGGUAGAAUUCCAGGUGUAGCGGUGAAAUGCGUAGAGAUCUGGAGGAAUACCGGUGGCGAAGGCGGCCCCCUGGACGAAGACUGACGCUCAGGUGCGAAAGCGUGGGGAGCAAACA
rnacentral:rRNA from 1 species